UACGGAGGAUGCAAGCGUUAUCCGGAAUCAUUGGGCGUAAAGCGUCCGUAGGUGGUUUUUCAAGUCUGCUGUCAAAGCCUGGGGCUUAACCCCAGAUAGGCAGUGGAAACUGGGAGACUAGAGUUCGGUAGGGGUAGCGGGAAUUCCCAGUGUAGCGGUGAAAUGCGUAGAUAUUGGGAAGAACAUCGGUGGCGAAGGCGCGCUACUGGGCCGAAACUGACACUCACAGGACGAAAGCUAGGGGAGCGAAAGGG
rnacentral:rRNA from 1 species